GGAUGCGAUCAUACCAGCACUAAAGCACCAGAUCCCAUCAGAACUCCGAAGUUAGUUAAGCGUGCUUGGGCGAGAGUAGUACUAGGAUGGGUGACCUCCUGGGAAGUCCUCAUGUUGCAUUCC
rnacentral:rRNA from 1 species